rnacentral:rRNA from 1 species
CCUACGGGAGGCUGCAGUGGGGGAUAUUGCACAAUGGGGGAAACCCUGAUGCAGCGACGCCGCGUGGGCGAAGAAGUAUUUCGGUAUGUAAAGCCCUAUCAGCAGGGAAGAAGAAAUGACGGUACCUGAGUAAGAAGCACCGGCUAAAUACGUGCCAGCAGCCGCGGUAAUACGUAUGGUGCAAGCGUUAUCCGGAUUUACUGGGUGGAAAGGGAGCGCAGGCGGCACGGCAAGCCUGAUGUGAAAGCCCGCGGCCCAACCGCGGGACUGCAUUGGGAACUACCGGGCUGGAGUGCCGGAGAGGUAGGCGGAAUUCCUAGUGGAGCGGUGAAAUGCGUAGAUAUUAGGAGGAACACCAGUGGCGAAGGCGGCCUACUGGACGGUGACUGACGCUGAGGCUCGAAAGCGUGGGGAGCAAACAGGAUUAGAUACCCGGGUAGUC